CCCGCGACAAGCGGUGAGCAUGUGGUUUAAUUCGAUGCAACGCGAAGAACCUUACCUGGGCUUGACAUCCCGGGAAUCCCUUGGAACAAGGGAGUGCCUUCGGGGAACCUGGAGACAGGUGGUGCAUGGUUGUCGUCAGCUCGUGUCGUGAGAUGUUGGGUUAAGUCCCGCAACGAGCCGCAACCCCUAUUGUUAGUUGCCAUCAUUCAGUUGGGCACUCUAGCGAGACUGCCGGUAAUAAACCGGAGGAAGGUGGGGAUGACGUCAAAUCAUCAUGCCCCUUAUGACCUGGGCUACACACGUGCUACAAUGGUUGGCACAACGAGUUGCGAGUCGGUGACGGCGAGCUAAUCUCUUAAAGCCAAUCUCAGUUCGGAUUGUAGGCUGCAACUCGCCUACAUGAAGUCGGAAUCGCUAGUAAUCGCGGAUCAGCACGCCGCGGUGAAUACGUUCCCGGGCCUU
rnacentral:rRNA from 1 species